GACAGAGGUGGCGACCGUUGUUCGGAAUCACUGGGCAUAAAGCGCGUGUAGGCGGCAUUGUAAGUCGGGUGUGAAAUCCCUCGGCCUAACCGAGGAAUUGCGCCCGAAACUACUUUGCUUGAGGAUGAGAGGGGAGCCUGGAAUUCCUGGUGGAGCGGUGAAAUGCGUUGAUAUCAGGAGGAACACCGGCGGCGAAGGCGAGGCUCUGGCUCAUUACUGACGCUGAGACGCGAAAGCUAGGGGAGCAAACGGG
rnacentral:rRNA from 1 species